CCUACGGGUGGCAGCAGUGGGGAAUAUUGGGCAAUGGGCUUACGCCUGAACCAGCAAAGCCGCGUGAAGGAAGAAUGCUCUCGGGUUGUAAACUUCGUUUCUCCGGGACGAAGCACGUGACGGUACCUGCGGAAUAAGCCACGGCUAACUACGUGCCAGCAGCCGCGGGCAUACGUUGGUUGCAAGUGUUAUCCGGAUUUACUGGGUGUAACGGGUGUGUUGGCGGGAAAGCAAGUCAGAUGGGAAAACCAUGGGCUCAACCUGUGGCCUGCCUUUGACACUGGUUUUCUUGAGUACGGGAGAGGCAGGCGGAAUGCGUAGUGUAGCGGUGAAAUGCGUAGAGAGUAGGAGGAACACCAGUGGCGAAGGCGGUCUGCUGGACAGCAACUGACGCUGAGGCGCGAAAGCGUGGGGAGCAAACAGGAUUAGAUACCCCAGUAGUC
rnacentral:rRNA from 1 species